rnacentral:rRNA from 1 species
UACGUAGGUGGCAAGCGUUGUCCGGAUUUACUGGGCGUAAAGAGCGCGCAGGCGGUCAUUCAAGUCGAGUGUGAAAGCCCCCGGCUCAACUGGGGAGGGUCACUCGAUACUGUUUGACUCGAAGGCGGGAGAGGGAAGUGGAAUUCCCGGUGUAGUGGUGAAAUGCGUAGAUAUCGGGAGGAACACCAGUGGCGAAGGCGGCAUCCUGGACCGGCAUUGACGCUGAGGCGCGAAAGCCAGGGGAGCAAACGGG